rnacentral:lncRNA from 1 species
UGGUGCGUUCCAUACCUUGGAAGAAAACUUAGUUACUACUGACUAAUGUUGAUAAAUGUGCAAUUACUUGUUAAUUGUUAUCAGCUGCCCCUUUUUUAGAAAGCAGCAAAUUGUUUAAGAUGAACACAAACAAACUUAUCAUACCAUAUCUGGCAUCAGAAUAAUAGUUAUUAAAUCUUGGUAUAUGUAUAUAACUAAUUCAUGAAGACUUUAUGCUAUAAUCUACGUACAUUCUGCUUUCGUGUUAGGACAUGAGAGAAGAUAUGCAUAUAUUUGGUUUUUAUUGUAUAUGUGGGGUUGUUGGGUCUGAAGUAGAAUUAUCAUUGAGGAGACUGCCAAUUUUUGUUUCCUUUAUUCUGUUCUAGUACCACAGCAAUUUGAUUUAUGCCAAAAGUGUUGCUACGCUGAGAGACUGCCAUCUGUACAAGCAAUGCAAUGCAGAUCAGUUAAAUACAAUGCAUCAAUGGAUGAAUCUUAUGUGGCCAGAACCCAUCUUAGUUUAAUUAGAAUCUUUUGGUAAAUAAGCAUGAUCACCUCUAAUAGUAUUCAGGACCACAUUCAUUAAUAUGGUAAUACAUAUAUUGAGUUGAUGAAGGCUGCUUCCGCGUUAUCCGUUAAUAAUGGCAGUGAUUUAGAAUGGGGCUGGAAACAAAUAUUGCAAAACAGGACAGUAAGAUGCUAUUUACUAUAUAAAAAAAGUUCGUUUGAUUAAUCAUACACACCAACUUACUGCGAAAUAAUCUAUCAUAUUGUACGUUUUGUUGGUUGAAGUAUAUGCUCUAUCCAAUGAUCCCUGUAAGGGGCUAUGUACUUACGAAUUGAAUGGCACAUUGGCACGACACCGUCCUCCUCCUUCCCGAUAUAUAUGCUAAAUUUCUUAAUUCAUAUUAACCCAGUGUAAGUAAAUUUUCAAUUUCUCUUACGCGGCUUUUUUUUUUCCCUCUUCUGUAGACUUAUUUUGUUUUAUUUUACCAAUUGGCAGCUCGGGGGCGGAUAUCUCUUUGGGUUGCCAGUUGGAUUUGUUGCUGAUUCUACUGGUGCUACACUUGGAGCAACAGCUGCAUUUCUUCUCGGGAGAACAGUAAGUUAAACUCCCCCUUGACUAUUCCUUAUUGGCCAAGACCAAGUGCAGUUAUAGUGAUUAUAUCUAUAUUUUGCAUAACUUUGUCCCCCGUGGUAUACAUUCCUAUGCAUUUAUUCUUUUAUCUUAAGCUUAUUGCCAUUUGUAGUAAGUGCCAAGCUCUGAAUUUAUGGUGUCAUCUUCACAUGAAUAUAUUUUGCCACAUAUUUGCAGAUUGGGAGGCCAUAUGUCAAAUCUAAAUUGAAAAAUUAUCCCAGGUUUCAGGCAGUUACUAUAGCGAUUCAGAAAUCCGGGUUUAAGGUUUGAUUGCUGACUAACUAUUUUGUUGAUAAUUAAGUUUAUGCCCGAGUUGGGAUAUUAAGUGAGAAGUGACUUUUUUAUAGCUGACUGGACACCUAUGAAUUUCCUUACCUAAGUGAUUAAGAUACACUAGCGACAACCCUUUAUAUAUUUGCGUUAUAUUGUUAGGAUGUACAUAUAAAGGAUUGGCUGAGAAGCUCUUGUAAAAAAACACAUGUUGCCAGUGUCAUGUUGCCGGUGGUUUGCUGGCACAUUUAGCUCCCAUAUGUUUUACAAGCUUAAAUAUUAAUUGAAAUUUGAAGUAUGCUUUUAAGUGUCUUUGUUGGUUGCUUUGGUAUUGCACAUUAAGAUACCCAAUCGCUAUUAUGAGAGAGGUGUAUAUUCUAUUCAUCUGCAAUGACCGANUAGAAUUAUCAUUGAGGAGACUGCCAAUUUUUGUUUCCUUUAUUCUGUUCUAGUACCACAGCAAUUUGAUUUAUGCCAAAAGUGUUGCUACGCUGAGAGACUGCCAUCUGUACAAGCAAUGCAAUGCAGAUCAGUUAAAUACAAUGCAUCAAUGGAUGAAUCUUAUGUGGCCAGAACCCAUCUUAGUUUAAUUAGAAUCUUUUGGUAAAUAAGCAUGAUCACCUCUAAUAGUAUUCAGGACCACAUUCAUUAAUAUGGUAAUACAUAUAUUGAGUUGAUGAAGGCUGCUUCCGCGUUAUCCGUUAAUAAUGGCAGUGAUUUAGAAUGGGGCUGGAAACAAAUAUUGCAAAACAGGACAGUAAGAUGCUAUUUACUAUAUAAAAAAAGUUCGUUUGAUUAAUCAUACACACCAACUUACUGCGAAAUAAUCUAUCAUAUUGUACGUUUUGUUGGUUGAAGUAUAUGCUCUAUCCAAUGAUCCCUGUAAGGGGCUAUGUACUUACGAAUUGAAUGGCACAUUGGCACGACACCGUCCUCCUCCUUCCCGAUAUAUAUGCUAAAUUUCUUAAUUCAUAUUAACCCAGUGUAAGUAAAUUUUCAAUUUCUCUUACGCGGCUUUUUUUUUUCCCUCUUCUGUAGACUUAUUUUGUUUUAUUUUACCAAUUGGCAGCUCGGGGGCGGAUAUCUCUUUGGGUUGCCAGUUGGAUUUGUUGCUGAUUCUACUGGUGCUACACUUGGAGCAACAGCUGCAUUUCUUCUCGGG